rnacentral:rRNA from 1 species
AUUGAACGCUGGCGGCAUGCUUUACACAUGCAAGUCGAACGGUAACAGGCCUUCGGGCGCUGAGGAGUGGCGAACGGGUGAGUAAUGCAUCGGAACGUGCCCAGUCGUGGGGGAUAACGCAGCGAAAGCUGUGCUAAUACCGCAUACGAUCUAUGGAUGAAAGCGGGGGACCGUAAGGCCUCGCGCGAUUGGAGCGGCCGAUGUCAGAUUAGGUAGUUGGUGGGGUAAAGGCUCACCAAGCCAACGAUCUGUAGCUGGGCUGAGAGGACGACCAGGCACACUGGAACUGAGACACGGUCCAGACUCCUACGGGAGGCAGCAGUGGGGAAUUUUGGACAAUGGGCGCAAGCCUGAUCCAGCAAUGCCGCGUGCAGGAAGAAGGCCUUCGGGUUGUAAACUGCUUUUGUACGGAACGAAACGGCGAGCUCUAAUACAGUUUGCUAAUGACGGUACCGUAAGAAUAAGCACCGGCUAACUACGUGCCAGCCGCCGCGGUAAAAC